CCUACGGGUGGCAGCAGUGGGGAAUAUUGCGCAAUGGGCGAAAGCCUGACGCAGCGACGCCGCGUGAGGGAUGAAGGUCUUCGGAUCGUAAACCUCUGUCAGCAGGGAAGAACGGUCACUGUGCUAAUCAGCAGUGAAUUGACGGUACCUGCAAAGGAAGAACCGGCUAACUCCGGGCCAGCAGCCGCGGUAAUACGGAGGGUGCGAGCGUUAAUCGGAAUUACUGGGCGUAAAGCGCUCGUAUGCGGUCUGUCAAGACAAGGGGUAAACGCCCGCGCUCAACGUGUAAACUGCCUUUGAAACUGGCAAACUGGAUUGUGGAAGAGGAUAGUGGAAUUCCAGGUGUAGGAGUGAAAUCCGUAGAUAUCUGGAGGAACAUCAGUGGCGAAGGCGACUAUCUGGCACAUAACUGACGCUGAGGAGCGAAAGCGUGGGUAGCAAACAGGAUUAGAUACCCCAGUAGUC
rnacentral:rRNA from 1 species